rnacentral:rRNA from 1 species
GACGAACGCUGGUGGCGUGCCUAACACAUGCAAGUCGAACGGAGAAUCAGCAAUGAUUCUUAGUGGCGAACGGGUGAGUAACGCGUAGACAACCUGCCUUCUAGAUGGGGACAACACUGCGAAAGCGGUGCUAAUACCGAAUAUGUUUUUUCUGACGCAUGUCAGAAAAAAGAAAGGUGGCCUCUUUACAAUUCUACAGCUAGAAGAUGGGUCUGCGUCUGAUUAGCUAGGUGGUGAGGUAAAAGCUCACCAAGGCGACGAUCAGUAGCCGGUCUGAGAGGAGGAACGGCCACACUGGGACUGAGACACGGCCCAGACUCCUACGGGAGGCAGCAGUGGGGAAUCUUCCGCAGUGGACGAAAGUCUGACGGAGCAACGCCGCGCGAGUGAUGAAGGUUUUCGGAUCGUAAAGCUCUGUUAUUCGGGACGAACGUAUUUAUUAUGAAUAAUGAUAAAUAGUGACGGUACCGAAGGAGGAAGCCACGGCUAACUACGUGCCAGCAGCCGCAGUAAGAC